GUGAGGAAUAUUGGUCAAUGGGCGGGAGCCUGAACCAGCCAAGUCGCGUGAAGGAAGAAGGAUCUAUGGUACGUAAACUUCUUUUGCAGGGGAAUAAAGUGCAGGACGUGUCCUGUUUUGUAUGUACCCUGAGAAUAAGGAUCGGCUAACUCCGUGCCAGCAGCCGCGGUAAUACGGAGGAUCCGAGCGUUAUCCGGAUUUAUUGGGUUUAAAGGGUGCGUAGGUGGUUUGAUAAGUCAGCGGUGAAAGUUUGCAUCUUAACUGGAAAAAUGCCGUUGAAACUGUCUGACUUGAGUGUAAAUGAGGUAGGCGGAAUGCGUGGUGUAGCGGUGAAAUGCAUAGAUAUCACGCAGAACUCCGAUUGCGAAGGCAGCUUACUAAGCUACAACUGACACUGAAGCACGAAAGCGUGGGGAUCAAACAGGAUUAGAUACCCUAGUAGUCC
rnacentral:rRNA from 1 species